UACAGAGGUCCCAAGCGUUGUUCGGAUUCAUUGGGCGUAAAGGGUGCGUAGGCGGCGCGGUAAGUCGGGUGUGAAAAUCUCGGGGCUUAACUCCGAAACUGCAUUCGAUACUGUCGUGCUUGAGGACUGGAGAGGAGACUGGAAUUUACGGUGUAGCGGUGAAAUGCGUAGAUAUCGUAAGGAAGACCAGUGGCGAAGGCGGGUCUCUGGACAGUUCCUGACACUGAGACACGAAGGCCAGGGGAGCAAACGGG
rnacentral:rRNA from 1 species